GUGGGGAAUAUUGGACAAUGGGCGAAAGCCUGAUCCAGCCAUGCCGCGUGUGUGAAGAAGGUCUUCGGAUUGUAAAGCACUUUAAGUUGGGAGGAAGGGCAUUAACCUAAUACGUUAGUGUUUUGACGUUACCGACAGAAUAAGCACCGGCUAACUUCGUGCCAGCAGCCGCGGUAAUACGAAGGGUGCAAGCGUUAAUCGGAAUUACUGGGCGUAAAGCGCGCGUAGGUGGUUCAGCAAGUUGGAGGUGAAAUCCCCGGGCUCAACCUGGGAACUGCCUCCAAAACUACUGGGCUAGAGUACGGUAGAGGGUAGUGGAAUUUCCUGUGUAGCGGUGAAAUGCGUAGAUAUAGGAAGGAACACCAGUGGCGAAGGCGACUACCUGGACUGAUACUGACACUGAGGUGCGAAAGCGUGGGGAGCAAACAGGAUUAGAAACCCCUGUAGUCC
rnacentral:rRNA from 1 species